ACAGAGAUCCGUGUGAAACCUCAGCCGAGCUCCUUGUUUAAUCUCCAAAUCUUGGAUAUAGCAUAGCUGAUUAGUUUCCAAGAAGAGGCGAUCCAACUUCAGCUUAGCUCCUAGUCAGAUGUUAAUUCUGCAAGCUAACCACUUGUAUAAUAACUAUUCCAUCCUACAUAAUGGCAUUCAAUUCCACACAAUUCUUCCUGUAAAAACAUAAAACAUACAACUGUGUCAAUUAAGUGUUAUUAACUGCUAAGAACAAAUGGCCCUCAACCAAACUAAACAUACAUACUACACUGCUGCCAUAUAGUCAUAUAGGGGUAUCAGAUGGUCGAAAUAUGCCCAAAUUUUCCUAAAUGUUGAUCUAACAACAUUUCAGAUGUAUCAUGUAUGGAGAAACAAAUAGGUAGUGUUGUUGAUUAAGCUGAUAUGCACCCCCGAUCAAGAAGAUAAAUAAGAAAACAAAGCUAUAAUGCCAUAGGAGUCAUCAGGAGACGACAUCAAUGUAUUACUACGUAUUCCGAACUACGGCACUGAUCCAUUCGUGGUCGCUACUCACCCCGACAGAGGCCAGGAAGCAUUUGGUUACUGGAUCUUUCCGCUGGGAGAUGGUAGCUCGGGAUAUCUUCAACCGGUUUGGAUGGCGGUCAUGUAAUAGGAUAGGCAUUUAGUUUACCUAUCUAGUUUUAGCCAGCCGGUUGUGGCAUCUUUUCAUGGCUAGUUGGUGUUUCUAGCCCGUCUUGGCUCUGUGUGAGCUUUCUUUACUUUUCAUUACUUUUGAAGACCUUGGAACCAUGUUCGCACUGCUUUAUUUGGUUAAUAAGAUGGCCGUAUGCAUCACUCUGAUGCAGAGGCCGGGGAGUCCCCCUUUAAAAAAAAUGUAUUACUGCUCUAAUUGAAAUAAGGUGUCAUCUUCACUUUAGGAGAUCCUGACACAAGAGGAAUGUUGUCUCCCUACAUUAUCGUAACUUCUAUGCAAGAGCAUAUGCCCAUCAGGUGCUUAAGUAUUAACAAUAUAAUUACCAACAACUACACUGCAGCUUAAUAUAGAAAUUUUGUCAAAAUAAUGAAGGGCGGGAAUUAGGGAAUGCAUAUAUUACUACCGUAGUAAAGGAGGAAUACAUAACUAAUAACAAGAUGCAAGGACCAUAAAUCACACAUGUCUUCUAAUUUAACUGCUAGGCACAACAAAAUGUAUAUGUACUUAUUACAAGCAGUACAACACUUCACAUCUCGUCAAUUCAUCAGUGGAAGCGACAUCAGAUGAGAUCAAGUCAAACAAUUUCAAAGCAAACAACUUAGGAUGGCAAUGCUUAACUAAGGAUUGAGCUCAUGUAUAUGGAGGAUAAAAUCAUAUUGCCUGGUUGGCUUACAUCAUCGUUGCCACUGGGGGUCUACUUCGCCGUGGCCACGACCAACAAGGAGGAAACAUGGCAC
rnacentral:lncRNA from 1 species